GGGUUGUGAGGUUAAGCGACUAAGCGUACACGGUGGAUGCCCUGGCAGUCAGAGGCGAUGAAGGACGUGCUAAUCUGCGAUAAGCGUCGGUAAGGUGAUAUGAACCGUUAUAACCGGCGAUUUCCGAAUGGGGAAACCCAGUGUGUUUCGACACACUAUCAUUAACUGAAUCCAUAGGUUAAUGAGGCGAACCGGGGGAACUGAAACAUCUAAGUACCCCGAGGAAAAGAAAUCAACCGAGAUUCCCCCAGUAGCGGCGAGCGAACGGGGAGCAGCCCAGAGCCUGAAUCAGUGUGUGUGUUAGUGGAAGCGUCUGGAAAGGCGCGCGAUACAGGGUGACAGCCCCGUACACAAAAAUGCACAUGCUGUGAGCUCGAUGAGUAGGGCGGGACACGUGGUAUCCUGUCUGAAUAUGGGGGGACCAUCCUCCAAGGCUAAAUACUCCUGACUGACCGAUAGUGAACCAGUACCGUGAGGGAAAGGCGAAAAGAACCCCGGCGAGGGGAGUGAAAAAGAACCUGAAACCGUGUACGUACAAGCAGUGGGAGCACAGAGCAAUCUGUGUGACUGCGUACCUUUUGUAUAAUGGGUCAGCGACUUAUAUUCUGUAGCAAGGUUAACCGAAUAGGGGAGCCGAAGGGAAACCGAGUCUUAACUGGGCGUUAAGUUGCAGGGUAUAGACCCGAAACCCGGUGAUCUAGCCAUGGGCAGGUUGAAGGUUGGGUAACACUAACUGGAGGACCGAACCGACUAAUGUUGAAAAAUUAGCGGAUGACUUGUGGCUGGGGGUGAAAGGCCAAUCAAACCGGGAGAUAGCUGGUUCUCCCCGAAAGCUAUUUAGGUAGCGCCUCGUGAAUUCAUCUCCGGGGGUAGAGCACUGUUUCGGCAAGGGGGUCAUCCCGACUUACCAACCCGAUGCAAACUGCGAAUACCGGAGAAUGUUAUCACGGGAGACACACGGCGGGUGCUAACGUCCGUCGUGAAGAGGGAAACAACCCAGACCGCCAGCUAAGGUCCCAAAGUCAUGGUUAAGUGGGAAACGAUGUGGGAAGGCCCAGACAGCCAGGAUGUUGGCUUAGAAGCAGCCAUCAUUUAAAGAAAGCGUAAUAGCUCACUGGUCGAGUCGGCCUGCGCGGAAGAUGUAACGGGGCUAAACCAUGCACCGAAGCUGCGGCAGCGACACUAUGUGUUGUUGGGUAGGGGAGCGUUCUGUAAGCCUGUGAAGGUGUACUGUGAGGUAUGCUGGAGGUAUCAGAAGUGCGAAUGCUGACAUAAGUAACGAUAAAGCGGGUGAAAAGCCCGCUCGCCGGAAGACCAAGGGUUCCUGUCCAACGUUAAUCGGGGCAGGGUGAGUCGACCCCUAAGGCGAGGCCGAAAGGCGUAGUCGAUGGGAAACAGGUUAAUAUUCCUGUACUUGGUGUUACUGCGAAGGGGGGACGGAGAAGGCUAUGUUGGCCGGGCGACGGUUGUCCCGGUUUAAGCGUGUAGGCUGGUUUUCCAGGCAAAUCCGGAAAAUCAAGGCUGAGGCGUGAUGACGAGGCACUACGGUGCUGAAGCAACAAAUGCCCUGCUUCCAGGAAAAGCCUCUAAGCAUCAGGUAACAUCAAAUCGUACCCCAAACCGACACAGGUGGUCAGGUAGAGAAUACCAAGGCGCUUGAGAGAACUCGGGUGAAGGAACUAGGCAAAAUGGUGCCGUAACUUCGGGAGAAGGCACGCUGAUAUGUAGGUGAAGUCCCUCGCGGAUGGAGCUGAAAUCAGUCGAAGAUACCAGCUGGCUGCAACUGUUUAUUAAAAACACAGCACUGUGCAAACACGAAAGUGGACGUAUACGGUGUGACGCCUGCCCGGUGCCGGAAGGUUAAUUGAUGGGGUCAGCGCAAGCGAAGCUCUUGAUCGAAGCCCCGGUAAACGGCGGCCGUAACUAUAACGGUCCUAAGGUAGCGAAAUUCCUUGUCGGGUAAGUUCCGACCUGCACGAAUGGCGUAAUGAUGGCCAGGCUGUCUCCACCCGAGACUCAGUGAAAUUGAACUCGCUGUGAAGAUGCAGUGUACCCGCGGCAAGACGGAAAGACCCCGUGAACCUUUACUAUAGCUUGACACUGAACAUUGAGCCUUGAUGUGUAGGAUAGGUGGGAGGCUUUGAAGUGUGGACGCCAGUCUGCAUGGAGCCGACCUUGAAAUACCACCCUUUAAUGUUUGAUGUUCUAACGUUGACCCGUGAUCCGGGUUGCGGACAGUGUCUGGUGGGUAGUUUGACUGGGGCGGUCUCCUCCUAAAGAGUAACGGAGGAGCACGAAGGUUGGCUAAUCCUGGUCGGACAUCAGGAGGUUAGUGCAAUGGCAUAAGCCAGCUUGACUGCGAGCGUGACGGCGCGAGCAGGUGCGAAAGCAGGUCAUAGUGAUCCGGUGGUUCUGAAUGGAAGGGCCAUCGCUCAACGGAUAAAAGGUACUCCGGGGAUAACAGGCUGAUACCGCCCAAGAGUUCAUAUCGACGGCGGUGUUUGGCACCUCGAUGUCGGCUCAUCACAUCCUGGGGCUGAAGUAGGUCCCAAGGGUAUGGCUGUUCGCCAUUUAAAGUGGUACGCGAGCUGGGUUUAGAACGUCGUGAGACAGUUCGGUCCCUAUCUGCCGUGGGCGCUGGAGAACUGAGGGGGGCUGCUCCUAGUACGAGAGGACCGGAGUGGACGCAUCACUGGUGUUCGGGUUGUCAUGCCAAUGGCACUGCCCGGUAGCUAAAUGCGGAAGAGAUAAGUGCUGAAAGCAUCUAAGCACGAAACUUGCCCCGAGAUGAGUUCUCCCUGACUCCUUGAGAGUCCUGAAGGAACGUUGAAGACGACGACGUUGAUAGGCCGGGUGUGUAAGCGCAGCGAUGCGUUGAGCUAACCGGUACUAAUGAACCGUGAGGCUUAACCUUACAACGCCGAAGGUGUUU
rnacentral:rRNA from 1 species